GUUAUUUAUUAAAUGUAUUUCGCCCAGAGCACAGUACAUGGGGUCUAUCCAGCAGACAGCAGUCUCCUGUGUGAGCCAGUAUAUGUUCAGGGAGCAGCCGUUUACAAUAGGCGACAUCCAGUGAACAGUUCAUGAACAGGCCAGAGAUCACAAGCAGGUCGGCCUGGCCGGGUGAUGUUACCGAGAAGAUGACAUCCUAGCAAUAAAUACUAAUAAUGUUGGUAAGGGAUGGUCAUCUUUCCGCCUUGUGUAAUCCCAUACAUCAACUGAUCGUUACUGGUACCAUUUAAAUGUCACUAGUCAUUAGUACAUACAACAUGCAAACUCCUCAGCACAUUCCAGUAUUAACAUUCCAGUAGAGAAUCAGGGGCUUAGAAUGUCAGAUAAACGCAAAUAUAUUUACAUCAAUUAGUUUUUUAGGAUUGUGUUGCAGCUAGUUUUUUUUCUUUUUUUUCAAAAGGCUAUUUUUUAUUAUUUUUCAAAAUAGAUUACUAAUUUGUCACUACUCAAUACAUAAACUUUUUUUUUUUCAUUAUAAUGGCUGUAAUAUUAGGGUCAUAACUUCACAAAGGGGACAGAAGCGAAGGCUGAUGUCCAGCAUACAGAAACAGUCAGGAGGUCAAAGUGAAAGUUGCGUUCGAGAACCGGGAGCGUCCACAAGGGGGCGACAGAGAGCUCUGGAGCGGACAGGUCGAUGUCAGAGAAAACGACCAGAACCAGAAGGAAAAGAAAUGGAAAAUGAAAGACACGAUACGAUACGACCUAAUACUUCAAUCAGACCGGGGAUAAGAAACAAACAAAAGCGCCAGACUUCAGAUCAUAGAGCAUCUUACCUGCCCUUAACUCGUCUGGGCCCACACGUUCUAGAAACAGCGCGAUGCAAACACAACCUCGAUGGCUCGAAUGCAUAAGCUCACCGAGAACCCAAUUCAGCCUGAGCUCUGCAAGAGCGGACCUGACGAGACUAGUUCUACCACCGCGCCUCAUACAAAGCAUGAGCCUAAAGCCAUCUCCAUCCUUAAUGAUGAGACCUGCAACACACGCGCACACUAAAGAAACACAAAGCAAACCGAGCCAAUGCAUAUGAAAACACAGGAAUAGUUCAGGACAAUCACAAUGAAGACCUCACCAAUAACAGUUAAAUUAUUAAAACCUGAUCAGGUGAUCAAACUUUCCAGCCAUCAGUAACACGACGUUGGUCUCGUUUUGUACAAACGUGAAACGCGUCAAAUCCUGGUGGAUGCACAAGAACGCAACGAGAGGGGGAUCUAAAACCGCUUUAAAACAGAGACGCACGCAAGUCAGAAAGAUCCAGAAGCCAACUAUUUAAACUUAUUGACCAUUUAUUUACAUGACACAGACGACCGCUGUGUGCUUAUAACUACGCAAAUAAAGUCCCAAGCUGUAUGGUUAGUGACCCGUCGGACCUGGUGGGGGUGACGGAGGAUGCAGACUACAUGCAGUGGGUCAGUGGUCCCUCUAGGCCUCUGAUGGUGGGUCAGUGCGGUGACAUGCAGACAGCAGCAGGGCCAGAGAGAGACGGAGACCACACGCUCAUAACUUAACGUCAGUUAGGAUUCAGCAUGACGUCGUUUAAGAGCAUUGUUGGAAAACUAUGCAUUAAUCUUCACCUUUUUCUUCAGAUAUGUUUUGCUGGUGAAAAAUAUAACGUUUGAAUGGUGGUUAAGGUGAUGGGGUCUGGAUGUGAGCCAUUGCACAGCAGAAUGUGUAUUUGCUCUAAUAGUCCUUAAUGUCUCUUGAGGUUUCAUAUGAUAACAACGACCAAGGUUGUCGGUUCUAAAAGUCUCAUAAAUGAAAAGCUUUGCAGGGAGAAAAAAGCAAAAAAAAAAGGAUUGUACAUAUUUUUAGAAAUACGUGACAGCAAGAGUUUGCAUUUCCUCAGUUCACUUUUUUUACAUCUUUGAUCGAGGGUUAGAGCAGGUCGGGGUCUUGUCCGUCUCUGGCUGGCAGAAGCAGCAGUAGAGGGCCUAAACAUCUAGGACUCCCAGGAGGAUCCCUCCAUUAAGGGCAGACGACGUCGACGAUGGCAGAAGCAAAAGCAUGUCGAAUUUUGGGCUCUAAAAGUCUCAAAGAUGC